GUGCUCCUUUCAGCAGCACAUAUACUAAAACUGGAACAAUACAGAGACAAUUAGAAUGUCCCUUGAAUAAAGUUGAUGUGCAAAUAUAUGAAGCAUUACAUAUUUUA